rnacentral:misc_RNA from 1 species
CUCGUGUCAGUGUACUAAAGGGCUGGCAUUUAUAUUUCAAGAAACAAGAUUUUGUUUUGUUGUGUUCUCACCAUCUUCAAGGACGUAAGCAAUGAGCAGAACAUUAGAGAAAAUUACUCCAAACGGUGAAAGAAGCUCAAGCUUAUGCCGCUCGCUAACUUCAUAAAUUACAAAAUCAAAUAUAAAUUCCUGAAAUAUUGCUUACACGUACUCGCAGUUGAUGCUCUAUACUGCUCAUACACUACUCAGGACAAGAUUAAUAAGCAGUAGCUUGCAAAUACACGUAAAUUUACGGGAAAAAAUGAAAGAAUCUCCGCUGGGGUGCCAUUGAAUAUUCUUCUCCACAAUGCCGAGAAAUAUCAAUCAAAGCAAUCCAAGUAAACAAUGGCUUGGUCCUUAGGAACAUGUAUUGAGUACAAAAAAUCUAGUGGCUAAUUUCAGAGAGUUCGGAUGUGAAAAGGCAACCUAUAGAAGGCUUCAAUCUCAGAGGUUAUCUUUUACCCAUUUCAGAGCUCCCUUAGCAACAGACCCAGCAAAAUCUUUU